rnacentral:rRNA from 1 species
UACGAAGGGGGCUAGCGUUGUUCGGAAUCACUGGGCGUAAAGGGCGCGUAGGCGGCCGAUCAAGUCGGGGGUGAAAGCCUGUGGCUCAACCACAGAGUUGCCUUCGAUACUGUUUGGCUUGAGACCGGAAGAGGUAAGUGGAACUGCGAGUGUAGAGGUGAAAUUCGUAGAUAUUCGCAAGAACACCAGUGGCGAAGGCGGCUUACUGGUCCGGUUCUGACGCUGAGGCGCGAAAGCGUGGGGAGCAAACAGG